GGUCCUUUGGCCCAAUGGUAAGGCGUCUGACUACGAUUCUAUGUGUAAUCAGGAGAUUCUGGGUUCGACCCCCAGGAGGACCU
rnacentral:tRNA from 1 species